CGUGCGGUUCAAUCCAAAUGGCAAUUUACGGCAAGUUUACAUUUUCGUUUCAUUUAUUCUAUCGAGAAAGCUGCCAGAAGGCACCAGACCAUCUGACGCACCUGUUCAUACCCGUGCCCCUUCCACGUCCAAAAUCACAACCCAAUCCACUCUCCGUCUUCUUCGCGUCUUUCAUUCUCCCGGUUCUUCUCUUCAACCAGCAAACAAUUUUGGAUUUGGCCUGGAGAGGAGAUCGACGAUCUGGGCGCUGGGGAGAUCCGCCAGGCGGUGAGCUGCUGGCUGUCGUCCGGUGGUGGUCGGCCUCCAACGGAGGAGGUGGGGGGGGACUCACUGGCGGAGGACGUGAUCGUUGCCCAGCUCUGGGCUCUCUGGUCAGCCCACGGCGGCGCGGGGAGGUGCCGGCGGAGGUGAGCAAGCUGUACGGCGAUGCGGCUCACCCGCUCGGCCACGUGCUCCACCACCUGCAGCUAUGAGCCAAGAUUUAAGGCAGCACACCUGCAUCCAUCGCCCAUGUGUUAAGUCGUUGGAUCCCCCCAACCCCCCUUGCUUUCUUAGCAUGGAUUUCUUCUUCAGAUAUAUCACAUGGGCGUCAUGUUUAUGUGUUCUUGAUUCCUCGAAAGAUGUAGGGAUCGAUUGAUUUUGUUUUGCUAUCACAUCUGGCACCUGUUCAGUUGACUCGCACUUGUUCGAUGGAAUGCCAAUGAGUGCUAUUUUUUUUUCAGUAAGUUCUCAGUUUCUCACCCGUGAUGUGAUUUGAUCACAGAGAUGCAGACUUCAUUUUCCCUCCUUGAUACACCUCUGAAAAUGAAGGGGAUAAAAUGGAUUUGUGGUU